ACAAAAGUGAAUAAAUCAGAUUGUAGAAGCCAGCACUAUAUCUCGUUGAACUACUUUGGUCAGUCCAAAAACUUAACCAUGUGCUACUCCCAACACGGAGAGCUUCUAUCAAGAAAUAGCACAUAAAUAGAACAAGAACCACCCAAGAACCUCCCAAAGCAUUUUUGUACCUCAUUAGAACAUUCGAGCUCACUACACCAGUUUCCCGUUCCUCUUGUUUGAUAAGAACAGAUUUUCCUUCCUUCUUACCUUUUCCAUCUUCUUUAGCUACCCCAUUGGUUUCACCAUUAACAAUAGGUUUUGAAGAUUUAUCAUUGGCAUUGUCAUCG
rnacentral:misc_RNA from 1 species